AGGACGAACGCUGGCGGCGUGCUUAACACAUGCAAGUCGAACGAGGUCCAACCAGUCGCAAGACUGGGGAAGACCGAGUGGCGAACGGGUGAGUAACACGUGAGGAACGUGCCCCGGAGACCGGGAUAACAGCGGGAAACCGCUGCUAAUACCGGAUACCUUCUUUUGACCGCAUGGUCAGCUGAAGAAAUGGAUUCCGCUCCGGGAGCGCCUCGCGGUCUAUCAGCUUGUGGUGGGUAACGGCCUACCAAGGCUUCGACGGAUAGCUGGUCUGAGAGGACGAUCAGCCACACUGGGACUGAGACACGGCCCAGACUCCUACGGGAGGCAGCAGUGGGAAUCUUGCCCAAGUGGCGAAAGCCUGAGGCAGCAACGCCGCGUGUGGAGUGAAGGCCCUUGGGUUCGUAAACCACUUUCAGCGAGGACGAAAAUGACGGUACCUGACAGAACGAACGACCCGGACCAACUACGUGCCAGCAGCCGAC
rnacentral:rRNA from 1 species